CAUUCACGGAGAGUUUGAUCCUGGCUCAGGACGAACGCUGGCGGCGUGCUUAACACAUGCAAGUCGAACGAUGAACCACUUCGGUGGGGAUUAGUGGCGAACGGGUGAGUAA
rnacentral:rRNA from 1 species